UACGUAGGGGGCGAGCGUUGUCCGGAAUCAUUGGGCGUAAAGAGCGUGUAGGUGGACUGGAAGGUCUGGUGUGAAAGCCCGGGGCUCAACCCCGGAGGGUCACUGGAAACCAACAGUCUUGAGUCUGGAAGAGGAGAGUGGAAUUCCUGGUGUAGCGGUGGAAUGCGCAGAUAUCAGGAGGAACACCAAUGGCGAAGGCAGCUCUCUAGUACAUGACUGACACUGAGACGCGAAAGCGUGGGGAGCGAACAGG
rnacentral:rRNA from 1 species